rnacentral:rRNA from 1 species
GACGAACGCUGGCGGCGUGCUUAACACAUGCGAGUCGAACGGAAAGGCCCUGCUUUUGUGGGGUGCUCGAGUGGCGAACGGGUGAGUAACACGUGAGUAACCUGCCCUUGACUUUGGGAUAACUUCAGGAAACUGGGGCUAAUACCGGAUAGGAGCUCCUGCUGCAUGGUGGGGGUUGGAAAGUUUCGGCGGUUGGGGAUGGACUCGCGGCUUAUCAGCUUGUUGGUGGGGUAGUGGCUUACCAAGGCUUUGACGGGUAGCCGGCCUGAGAGGGUGACCGGCCAAAUUGGGAAUGAGAUACGGCCCAGACUCCUCCGGGAGGCAGCAGUGGGGAAUAUUGCACAAUGGGCGGAAGCCUGAUGCAGGAACGCCGCGUGGGGGAUGACGGCCUUCGGGUUGUAAACCGCUUUCGCCUGUGACGAAGCGUGAGUGACGGUAAUGGGUAAAGAAGCACCGGCUAACUACGUG